GUGAGGUUGUGCUCCAGCUCUGGGCCAGGGCGCCAGUCAUCUGAGGCUUGUCUGGAAUGGGACGACCCACUUCCAAGCUCACUCACGUGGCUGUUGGCUGGAGGCCUCAGUUCCUCGCCCCACAGGCCUCUCCACUGGGCUACUCAUGACGUGGCUUCCCACACAGCAAAGGAUCCCCAUGAGGGAGACCGCGAGCCAAGCUGUCAUCCUUUAGCACCUUAUCUCGGAAGUGACCUGCAGUCGCUUCGCCAUAUUCUGCGGAUCACGUGAACCAUUCUUGCUAACGAUGAGGGAAGGACUGCACGAGAAUCUGGAUGCCCGGAGGUUACUCCAGAGACUUCUCAAUAUGCCUUGGUAUCACCAUAAGAUGAUACGAGUUGAGGAUAAAAACUGUUCCAGCCUGAGAAGUAGGUUUGAAUUGGGAGAAAUAAGCACAUCACCCAGUUCCUGGUCCAUCAUCAGAGUCUCCUGGAAGCCAGAGAUGUCUCCUUUCCCAUGUGUCCCCAUGGCCCUGAGUCAGCCCAAUGCCAGGCACAGAGGACGGAUUCCCUGGAUGUUUGUGGAAUAAACGGCUCACAGAGGGACCAUUCCAUUCCUGGCCCUAACGGCAGCUAUUUUGAGUCGUUAAAAGUCCUCUGCCUCGUGCUGCGCUGAACAUAAUGCCAGUGUACAUCAAAAACCACAUCAGAUCCCCAGAAAGCUGAGCGACUCUGGGUCUGCCUUGGUGACAGGCCUUGGCUGGCUCCUGGGCGCGCCUCACUCUGGGGCUCCAAGGGGCUGAAGUCCGACCCCUGGGGCCACUUGGCCGCCUCUGGGCCCAGAGUCGGGAUCCCUGCCAUGCCCUAGUCAUGCUGAAGAGUGCCCCUGCCAUGGCUUGCAGGGAAGAAGAACCAGCUUGAGCCACACACAGGGUUUAAGUUGAGGACUUGUCAGUUCACAUAUUUGGAAUCCCAUUCUGUCUGAGUCCGGGCCUGGAGAGUCCCAGGGGUGCUCCGCCAGGGGACGGCUGUGGCUUGCUUGGCUCCUGUCCAAGCAGGCAGUGUCAGCAGACAUCUUCUGACAGUUUCUAAGCCUUGGGGAUGGGCCCUCAAGUGACCAGAAGAAGCCACAGGCCUUUGAAGUAAGGCUGCUCUUGAAUUUGCCAAGUUGGGGAAGGAGGAGAUUUUGGGAUCCGAGCUCUGCAGAGCCACUGAAGACCAUCGUUAAACACAGACGUUUCACCCCCUUCUUCGUCAAGCCUUCUGCCGGAGCUGCUGCUGUUGAGGCUGGAGGGCCAGCUUUGGAGAGAUGCGAAAGCCUCUGGACAAAGGUCUGAAUCCCACUUCCACCGUCCUCCAGCCUCUGUGAACUUGGCAUUUCACGUGCUUCCUCUGGGCUUUGGUUUUCUUAUACGUGAAAUGCAUAUGAAAUCAUCUAUCAUGUAGGGACCCAAGGAGGAAGCGUGUAGUGUGGUGAGACAAUUUUCCACGGGACUCUCCAAAAAUCCCAGCAAAAAUGCAAAGGCGCUGACUGCCUUUGUUCUCGCUCUUCAAGGACGUGUCCUAGGCAACAGCCUUAGAAGAUGCCCCUUUGUACAAAGGGCAGGUAUGUUGACUGCCACUUAAUAAAAGUUUGGGGUUCCCAGAGCUCAGGGUUCCUCCCCGUAAAGCCCCCCAUGAGCGAGCAAGUGUAACCCUCUCUCUUUGCACAAGGAAACCAGGGCAAGCAUGAUGCUCAUGCUAUUAGCUGUGCUGUGAGCAAUAGAAACCCGUAGUCUCUGACUCAGGAAUCCUGGGUAGUGGAAAUGGGCACUUGUUAGGUCGCAAGUAGGGUAAAAUCUUAGCUUCACACUGUUCUUGACCGUGACGAGUGUGGGGUGCUGGAAGAGGAAAGAUGGGGGCCUCGCGAGAUGCUUCCUGGGUCUUUGAGAGAAGUGCAUGAAAAUCAGGAGCAAAGAUGUUCACCAAAUUGUAUGGCCAAUUGGGCAAUAAAUGACUCUCUAUUUUACUACCUUUUGGUGAGGAGGAAUUGGGGAGGCGCUUGCAGGCAGAGCCCUGGGAAGAGGUGUAGAGAGUGGCCCAAACCGUGCCCUGGUUGUGGCUGACUCUCCUCUGGCUGGUGGGACCUCCUUACGAGUCAGUGGCCCGUCUUACUUCCUCCCCGUGGACACAGCCAGCGCGAGGACUGCCCGGGAGUGGGGAGCUGAGUGGGGUGGGGGCGGGGGAACGGAGUUACGGUCUUUCAGUUAGCAGUUGCCGAUGGGCACUCACACUGGACCCAGGGGACAAGUUGACGACCUCUGUGGGCAGAAACCACAGGGAUUCUUUGAACUUUGGCUGGCUCACGUGGAGACAAGAGGGUGGGCACUGGCUAAGGGAAUAUGAUGACCCUGCCCCUCUUGCGGUCCAUCGUGCCUGAAGCAGAUCCAUUCAGAGACAACAACCGAAGGUCAGCAGGUGGGUCCUGCUGCCAUAAGGGGAUCUUGACCUUGGAGAAACGGUCCCAAGACAAAACUCAGAGGAAACCAAAUGUGAAGAAUUGACAAACCCUAGGCUGGGUUUGUUCAGAUGGUGUCCGCUGACUGUCACCUGCCAGCUUUGCAAGAACAAAAAGGGGCACUGUCCCUCUGCCCAGUGGGCGGAAGUCAAGACUGUUCUCACAGUGCACAUGCCCCUCGAUGAAGCUUGGAGUAUUUUUACUGUCAUUUGAGUGUAGCCAGUGACCUGGCUGUUCCAUCUACCACUUGGUAAAUGACACCCCUCUGUAGGGUCACACACUCUGGGAACAAGUUGAAGCAGCUGGUGGAACCUUCGAUGCCCACAGUGAGGGUGUGUUCUCUGCUGACACUGACUGCGUGCCUGUCCUGUCCAGACUGCCCCCCACUGCUGCCUGGCCAGUCACCCUACCACAUGUGGCCAGACUCCUACCCUCCAAGACCUGUACAAGUAAGGGGCUCUGUAUUAAGGAA